UUUCCAGGCCCUACGGGGCGCAGCAGGCGCGAAACCUUUACAAUGCGGGCAACCGUGAUAAGGGAACCUCGAGUGCCUGUAAAUGCAGGCUGUUCAGGUGCCUAAAACACACCUGAAGAAAGGGCCGGGCAAGACCGGUGCCAGCCGCCGCGGUAAUACCGGCGGCUCGAGUGGUGGCCGCUUUUAUUGGGCUUAAAGCGUUCGUAGCUGGGUUGUUAAGUCUCUUGGGAAAUCUGGCGGCUUAACCGUCAGGCGUCUAAGGGAUACUGGCAAUCUUGGAACCGGGAGAGGUGAGGGGUACUUCGGGGGUAGGAGUGAAAUCCUGUAAUCCUCGAGGGACCACCUGUGGCGAAGGCGCCUCACCAGAACGGCUUCGACAGUGAGGGACGAAAGCUGGGGGAGCAAACCGGAUUAGAUACCCGGGUAGUCCCAGCCGUAAACUAUGCGCGUUAGGUGUAUCGGUGACCACGAGUUACCGAGGUGCCGAAGGGAAACCGUGAAACGUGCCGCCUGGGAAGUACGGUCGCAAGGCUGAAACUUAAAGGAAUUUGGCGGGGGAG
rnacentral:rRNA from 1 species